CGCACAUUGCACUCCUUGGUAUUCCGGGGAGUAUGCCUGUUCGAGCGUCAUUACACCCUUCAAGCUUUGCUUGGUCUUGGAAUUCAUCGUCGAUGUUUCCGAAAACGAGUGGCAGUUUGUUCAACUUCAAGCGUGGUGAAUUUUACGUUCUGACAGUUGGGCGAACUUGCCAAAAUCUAUCUUCAAUAAUUUGACCUCGGAUCAGGUAGGGAUACCCGCUGAACUUAA
rnacentral:misc_RNA from 1 species